AUGGUUAAGUUAGAAAGGGCGCACGGUGAAUGCCUUGGCACUAGGAGCCGAUGAAGGACGGGACUAACACCGAUAUGCUUCGGGGAGCUGUAAGUGAGCUUUGAUCCGGAGAUUUCCGAAUGGGGAAACCCACUGUUCGUAAUGGAACAGUAUCUUUAUCUGAAUACAUAGGAUAUUGAAGGCAGACCCGGGGAACUGAAACAUCUAAGUACCCGGAGGAAGAGAAAGCAAAUGCGAUUUCCUGAGUAGCGGCGAGCGAAACGGAAUUAGCCCAAACCAAGAGGCUUGCCUCUUGGGGUUGUAGGACACUCUAUACGGAGUUACAAAGGAACGAAGUAAAUGAAGCGACCUGGAAAGGUCCGUCGAAGAAGGUAACAACCCUGUAGUUGAAACUUCGUUCCCUCUUGAGUGGAUCCUGAGUACGGCGGAACACGUGAAAUUCCGUCGGAAGCUGGGAGGACCAUCUCCCAAGGCUAAAUACUACCUAGUGACCGAUAGUGAACCAGUACCGUGAGGGAAAGGUGAAAAGCACCCCGGAAGGGGAGUGAAAGAGAUCCUGAAACCGUGUGCCUACAAGUAGUCAGAGCCCGUUAACGGGUGAUGGCGUGCCUUUUGUAGAAUGAACCGGCGAGUUACGAUCCCAUGCAAGGUUAAGCUGAUAAGGCGGAGCCGUAGCGAAAGCGAGUCUGAAUAGGGCGUUUAGUAUGUGGUUGUAGACCCGAAACCAGGUGAUCUACCCAUGUCCAGGGUGAAGUUCAGGUAACACUGAAUGGAGGCCCGAACCCACGCACGUUGAAAAGUGCGGGGAUGAGGUGUGGGUAGCGGAGAAAUUCCAAUCGAACCUGGAGAUAGCUGGUUCUCUCCGAAAUAGCUUUAGGGCUAGCCUCAUGUUGUGAGAGUCUUGGAGGUAGAGCACUGAUUGGACUAGGGGCCCCCAACGGGUUACCGAAUUCAGUCAAACUCCGAAUGCCAAAGACUUAUCCAUGGGAGUCAGACUGCGAGUGAUAAGAUCCGUAGUCAAAAGGGAAACAGCCCAGACCACCAGCUAAGGUCCCCAAGUAUACGUUAAGUGGAAAAGGAUGUGGAGUUGCUUAGACAACCAGGAUGUUGGCUUAGAAGCAGCCACCAUUUAAAGAGUGCGUAAUAGCUCACUGGUCGAGUGACUCUGCGCCGAAAAUGUACCGGGGCUAAACGUAUCACCGAAGCUGUGGAUUGACAUCUUUGAUGUCAGUGGUAGGAGAGCGUUCUAAGUGCAGCGAAGUCAGACCGUAAGGACUGGUGGAGCGCUUAGAAGUGAGAAUGCCGGUAUGAGUAGCGAAAGACAAGUGAGAAUCUUGUCCACCGAAUGCCUAAGGUUUCCUGAGGAAGGCUCGUCCGCUCAGGGUUAGUCGGGACCUAAGCCGAGGCUGAAAAGCGUAGGCGAUGGCCAACAGGUUGAUAUUCCUGUACCACCUCCCCGCCGUUUGAGUAAUGGGGGGACGCAGUAGGAUAGGGUAAGCGCGCUGCUGGAUAUGCGCGUUCAAGCAGUUAGGCUGAUGAGUAGGCAAAUCCGCUCAUCAUAAAGGCUGAGCUGUGAUGACGAGGGAAUUAUAGUACCGAAGUUCCUGAUUCCACACUGCCAAGAAAAGCCUCUAGCGAGGCGGGAGGUGCCCGUACCGCAAACCGACACAGGUAGGCGAGGAGAGAAUCCUAAGGUGAUCGAGAGAACUCUCGUUAAGGAACUCGGCAAAAUGACCCCGUAACUUCGGGAGAAGGGGUGCUCUGGUAGGGUGUAUAGCCCGAGAGAGCCGCAGUGAAUAGGCCCAGGCGACUGUUUAGCAAAAACACAGGUCUCUGCGAAGCCGCAAGGCGAAGUAUAGGGGCUGACGCCUGCCCGGUGCUGGAAGGUUAAGAGGAGGGGUUAUCCUUUGGGAGAAGCUCUGAAUCGAAGCCCCAGUAAACGGCGGCCGUAACUAUAACGGUCCUAAGGUAGCGAAAUUCCUUGUCGGGUAAGUUCCGACCCGCACGAAAGGCGUAACGAUCUGGGCACUGUCUCAACGAGAGACUCGGUGAAAUUAUAGUACCUGUGAAGAUGCAGGUUACCCGCGACAGGACGGAAAGACCCCGUGGAGCUUUACUGUAGCCUGAUAUUGAAUUUUGGUACAGCUUGUACAGGAUAGGUAGGAGCCUGAGAAGCCGGAGCGCUAGCUUCGGUGGAGGCGUCGGUGGGAUACUACCCUGGCUGUAUUGAAAUUCUAACCCGCGGCCCUGAUCGGGCCGGGAGACAGUGUCAGGUGGGCAGUUUGACUGGGGCGGUCGCCUCCUAAAAUGUAACGGAGGCGCCCAAAGGUUCCCUCAGAAUGGUUGGAAAUCAUUCGUAGAGUGUAAAGGCACAAGGGAGCUUGACUGCGAGACCUACAAGUCGAGCAGGGACGAAAGUCGGGCUUAGUGAUCCGGUGGUUCCGCAUGGAAGGGCCAUCGCUCAACGGAUAAAAGCUACCCCGGGGAUAACAGGCUUAUCUCCCCCAAGAGUCCACAUCGACGGGGAGGUUUGGCACCUCGAUGUCGGCUCAUCGCAUCCUGGGGCUGUAGUCGGUCCCAAGGGUUGGGCUGUUCGCCCAUUAAAGCGGUACGCGAGCUGGGUUCAGAACGUCGUGAGACAGUUCGGUCCCUAUCCGUCGUGGGCGUAGGAAAUUUGAGAGGAGCUGUCCUUAGUACGAGAGGACCGGGAUGGACACACCGCUGGUGUACCAGUUGUCUUGCCAAAGGCAUCGCUGGGUAGCUAUGUGUGGACGGGAUAAGUGCUGAAAGCAUCUAAGCAUGAAGCCCCCCUCAAGAUGAGAUUUCCCAUAGCGCAAGCUAGUAAGAUCCCUGAAAGAUGAUCAGGUUGAUAGGUCAGAGGUGGAAGCGUGGCGACAUGUGUAGCUGACUGAUACUAAUCGAUCGAGGACUUAACCAAAUUUUA
rnacentral:rRNA from 2 species